CCUACGGGUGGCAGCAGUGGGGAAUAUUGCACAAUGGGGGAAACCCUGAUGCAGCGAUGCCGCGUGAGUGAAGAAGUAUCUCGGUACGUAAAGCUCUAUCAGCAGGGAAGAAAAUGAUGGUACCUGUCUAAGAAGCCACUGCUGAUUACGUGCCAGCAGCCGCGGUCAUACGUAGGGGGCAAGCGUUAUCCGGAUUUACUGGGUGUAAAGGGAGCGUAGACGGCAGCACAAGUCUGGCGUGAAAUCCCGGGGCUUAACCCCGGAACUGCUUUGGAAACUGUGCGGCUGGAGUGCAGGAGGGGUGAGCGGAAUGCCUAGUGUAGCGGUGAAAUGCGUAGAUAUGAGGAGGAACACCGGUGGCGAAGGCGGCUUACUGGACUUUAACUGACGUUGAGGCGCGAAAGCGUGGGGAGCAAACAGGAUUAGAUACCCGAGUAGUC
rnacentral:rRNA from 1 species